CCUACGGGUGGCAGCAGUGGGGAAUAUUGGACAAUGGGCGAAAGCCUGAUCCAGCCAUGCCGCGUGUGUGAAGAAGGCCUUCGGGUUGUAAAGUACUUUCAGUGGGGAAGAAAGCCUUGGGGCUAAUACCCUCGAGGAAGGACAUCACCCACAGAAGAAGCACCGGCUAACUCCGUGCCAGCAGCCGCGGUAAUACGGAGGGUGCGAGCGUUAAUCGGAAUUACUGGGCGUAAAGCGCGCGUAGGCGGUCUGAUAAGCCGGUUGUGAAAGCCCCGGGCUCAACCUGGGAACGGCAUCCGGAGCUGUCAGGCUAGGGGGCAGGAGAGGAAGGUAGAAUUCCCGGUGUAGCGGUGAAAUGCGUAGAGAUCGGGAGGAAAACCAGUGGCGAAGGCGGCCUUCUGGACUGACACUGACGCUGAGGUGCGAAAGCGUGGGUAGCAAACAGGAUUAGAUACCCUUGUAGUC
rnacentral:rRNA from 1 species